UAUCUGCGGUGAUGUUACAUGAAUAAAAAUACACAUGUCAGACUUCAGAGAUUUUUUUUUCAUCAAAAAAUCAAUGAGAUAGAAUAUUCAUAGAGCUGAGCAGAAA
rfam:Morus notabilis contig5772, whole genome shotgun sequence.